UUUACAAGCUUAGCUUGCAACCUUCAAAUUUAUUAUAAAAUGAUCACAAGAGAACUACACCAUUGAAUAAACGCUUACAUCACAACACAAAUACAACACAAUUUUUAGAUAAAACUGUUCACUCUCUUAGCAUGGAGACAACUCUAGUGAAAAAGAACUUUAUAAAAGAAUGAGAGAUAGAAAUAUAAGAGAUAGUUUAUAUUCAUAAAACUGAUGUAUUUUGAAAUUAAGAGCACCAUCAUUUAUAUAAGAAAAAAUCUAGU
rnacentral:lncRNA from 1 species